CGGAAGAAUAAGGAUCGGCUAACUCCGUGCCAGCAGCCGCGGUAAUACGGAGGAUCCAAGCGUUAUCCGGAUUUAUUGGGUUUAAAGGGUGCGUAGGCGGCCUGUUAAGUCAGGGGUGAAAGACGGUAGCUCAACUAUCGCAGUGCCCUUGAUACUGAUGGGCUUGAAUGGACUAGAGGUAGGCGGAAUGAGACAAGUAGCGGUGAAAUGCAUAGAUAUGUCUCAGAACACCGAUUGCGAAGGCAGCUUACUAUGGUCUUAUUGACGCUGAGGCACGAAAGCGUGGGGAUCAAACAGGAUUAGAUACCCUGGUAGUCCACGCCCUAAACGAUGAACACUCGCUGUUGGCGAUACACAGUCAGCGGCUAAGCGAAAGCGUUAAGUGUUCCACCUGGGGAGUACGCCCGCAAGGGUGAAACUCAAAGGAAUUGACGGGGGCCCGCACAAGCGGAGGAGCAUGUGGUUUAAUUCGAUGAUACGCGAGGAACCUUACCCGGGCUUGAAAGUUAGUGAAUGAUUUAGAGAUAGAUCAGUCCGCAAGGACACGAAACUAGGUGCUGCAUGGCUGUCGUCAGCUCGUGCCGUGAGGUGUUGGGUUAAGUCCCGCAACGAGCGCAACCCCUAUGUUUAGUUGCCAGCAUGUAAUGGUGGGGACUCUAAACAGACUGCCUGUGCAAACAGAGAGGAAGGAGGGGACGACGUCAAGUCAUCAUGGCCCUUACGUCCGGGGCUACACACGUGCUACAAUGGACGGUACAGAGGGCAGCUACAUAGCAAUAUGAUGCGAAUCUCACAAAGCCGUUCACAGUUCGGAUUGGGGUCUGCAACUCGACCCCAUGAAGUUGGAUUCGCUAGUAAUCGCGUAUCAGCAAUGACGCGGUGAAUACGUUCCCGGGCCUUGUACACACCGCCCGUCAAGCCAUGGAAGCUGGGGGUACCUAAAGU
rnacentral:rRNA from 1 species